rnacentral:rRNA from 1 species
UACGGGGGGGGUAAGCGUUGUUCGGAAUUACUGGGCGUAAAGGGCUCGUAGGCGGCCAACUAAGUCGGACGUGAAAUCCCUCAGCUUAACUGGGGAACUGCGUCCGAUACUGGAUGGCUUGGAUUCGGGAGAGGAAUGCGGAAUUCCAGGUGUAGCGGUGAAAUGCGUAGAUAUGCGGAGGAACACCGAUGGCGAAGGCAAUCCCCUGGGACCUCGUACUGACGCUCAUGCACGAAAGCGUGGGGAGCAAACAGG